UUUCCUUAUAAAUAUAUUUGUUUGGAAGAGCUCAAGACACCUUUAUACACCUGAACCUGAAAUUAUUGUGAAACAUGACACCUAGAAGAAAAAAAAAAAUCAGAAACAAAUAUCUCCCUGCAGCUUAGAAAAGUUCACAUAUGCCUCACAGGAGCAUCAUUUAAGGUAUGUUAUUCUCAGUUUUCCCUUUUGGAUAGCAUUAUUAAUCACUUCCUGAAUUAUGCUGUUACCUACUUAGGUUACUUAGGUAGUAUUUUAUUAUAUUUUAUUUCACUGCAUUGCAUUGCAUUUCCAAUUUGUAAUAAAGCUUGUGUACAUAUAUUUGCCCACUAUGCAAAUCCAACACUGUUUUAAAAUACCUGAGAGUAGCUUUUAAGAAAAAAAAAAAUUGCAUUAAGCUCUUUUCAAAAGUAAUGAUAGAAUCCUUUCUCCUAAGAAUGAUUUGCUGGUGAGAAAGAGUGUAAAGAAUCUGUGGACAUGAAUAUCACAGUCUGAUUGUCAAAAUAUCAAUAUUUUAAUGCCUCAGGCAUCAUUCAUUGGCAUUUAAUACAUUUUAUAUAUUUAUACUUCAAAAUUUCCAACAAGUUCUUUAUAGCAUGAAA
ensembl:lncRNA